rnacentral:rRNA from 1 species
UAUAUUAAGAGUUUGAUCCUGGCUCCGAAUGAAUGCUUUUGGUUAAUUUUACACAUGCAAGUUAAAUUUUUAACAAUUUAGCGUACGGGUGAGUAAUUUAUAAAAAUAAUUUUUUAAAAAAAGUUUAUAAGAGAUUAAGUUUUUAAUUAAAACUAAAUAUUUAAUUAGCUAAUGAUCUCUCGCUGAUUUUUGAGGAUGAUCAGCCACAUUGGAAUUGAAAAACGGUCCAAACUAAAAUUUAGGCAGCAGUGAAGAAUUUUGGACAAUGAGUGUAAACUUGAUCCAGUUAAACCAAUUAUGUGAAGAAGGUUCUUUACCGUAAAACAUAUACUUUUAAAAAAUAAUGAUUUUAAAAAUUUUAGUCCUGGCUAAUUUCGUGCCAGCAGCCGCGGUAAAACGAGAAGGGCAAGUGUUAUUCUAAAUUAUUGGGCGUAAAGAAUUAUUAGGUUGUAAAUUACUGAUUAAAUUUUUAAUUGUUAAAAAAUUUAUUUUUAAAACAAUUACUAAAUAAAUUUUACUAGAGUUUAGCACCAAAGAUUUUAGAACUUUAAAAGAAACGGUAAAAUGUGUUGAUAUUUAAAAGAAUUUCAAAGGUAAAAGCAAAAAUCUAGUCUAAAACUGACACUUUUUAAUUAAAGUAUAGGUAGCAAAAGGGAUUAGAUACCCCUGUAGUCUAUACCCUGAACUAUGAAUGUUAUUGAUUCAUUAAUAUAAAAUAAUUAAAGAAUCAAUUUAGUUAACGUAAAACAUUUCGCCUGGGAACUACGAUCGCAAGUUUAAAACUCAAAGGAAUUGACGGGAAUUCAAACAAGCAGUGGAGCAUGUGGUUUAAAUCGAUAAUACGCGCGAAAUCUUACCAAAUUUUGUUAAUUCAGGUGUUGCAUGGCUGUCGUCAGUCCGUGCUUUGAAGUGUUUGGUUUAUUCCAAUGAACGGACGAAACUUUUUUAUAUUUAAAAUAUAUAUGUAACAAGGACAUCUUAUUAAAAUGAAAAUGAUGACAAGUCUUCAUGACCCUUAUAAUUUGGGCUACUUUCAUGUGCUACAAUGUUUUUUACAAUCUUAAAAAUUUAACGCAAUUUAUUUAUAAAUAAAAAAAAAUAUUCAAAUUAUUUUCUGAAACUCGAAAAUAUGAAGUUGAAAUUGCUAGUAAUCGUUGAAAAAUUAUGUAACGGUGAAUUUGUUCUUGAAUUUUGUACAUACCGCCCGUCACGCUAUGGAAAUUAAAUUUACUUGAAAAAUUUUAAAUAAUUUUAGAGUAAAACAAAGACUGGAGUGAAGUCGUAACAAGGUAGCCGUAGGGGAACCUGUGGCUGGAAUAAAAAAUUU